GGUGUGGUUGUUGCUGGCCCUCUCGGGGGCAUGUGCACACCCACCAUCCUCAUCUCUCCACCUGUGCACCUCUUGUAGACCUGGAUUGACUUUCCGAGGCAACUCGGUCGGGAAGAUUGCUGCGCUCUGUGAGCCAGCUUUCUUUGCAUGUCCAGGCCUAUGUUUUUCAUAUACCCCUAUAGAAUGUAACAGAAUGUAUCAUUGGGCCUUGUGCCUAUAAACCUUAUACAACUUUCAGCAACGGAUCUCUUGGCUCUCGCAUCGAUGAAGAACGCAGCGAAAUGCGAUAAGUAAUGUGAAUUGCARAAUUCAGUGAAUCAUCGAAUCUUUGAACGCACCUUGCGCUCCUUGGUAUUCCGAGGARCAUGCCUGUUUGAGUGUCAUUAAAUUCUCAACCUUAUUAACUUUUGUUGAUAAUGGAUUGGAUUGUGGGGGUUUCUUUUGCUGGCUUCUUCACAGARAUCARCUCCCCUUAAAUGCAUUARCUGGUGCCCCGCGUGGACCAUCUAUUGGUGUGAUAAUUAUCUACGCCGUGGAUGUCUGCAAUCAUAUGGGUUUCGCACUGCUUCUAACCGUCUGUUCAUUCGGACAAUACAUGACAAUUUGACCUCAAAUCAGGUARGACUACCCGCUGAACUUAAGCAUAUCAAUAAGCGGARGAAAAGAAACUAACAAGGAUUCCCCUARUAACUGCGAGUGAAGCGGGAAAAGCUCAAAUUUAAAAUCUGGCGGUCUCCGGCCGUCCGARUUGUAAUCUA
rnacentral:rRNA from 1 species